UGGGGAAUAUUGCACAAUGGAGGGAACUCUGAUGCAGCGACGCCGCGUGAGUGAAGAAGUAUUUCGGUAUGUAAAGCUCUAUCAGUAGGGAAGAUAAUGACGGUACCUACAUAAGAAGCCCCGGCUAAAUACGUGCCAGCAGCCGCGGUAAUACGUAGGUGGCAAGCGUUGUCCGGAAUUAUUGGGCGUAAAGCGCGCGCAGGUGGUUUAGAAAGUCUGAUGUGAAAGCCCACGGCUCAACCGUGGAGGGUCAUUGGAAACUAAUAAACUUGAGUGCAGGAGAGAAAAGUGGAAUUCCUAGUGUAGCGGUGAAAUGCGUAGAGAUUAGGAGGAACACCGGUGGCGAAAGCGGCUUUUUGGCCUGCAACUGACACUGAGGCGCGAAAGCGUGGGGAGCAAACAGG
rnacentral:rRNA from 1 species